CAGCAGCAGCAGCAGCAGCCACAGACAAAAGACCUAGGGGCCGGCCUCGCAAAGAUGGCGCUUCCCCUUUCCAGAGAGCCAGAAAGAAGCCUCGGAGUAGAGGAAAAACUGCAGUGGAGGAUGAAGACAGUAUGGAUGGUUUGGAGGCAGCAGAAACAGAAAACACUGUGGAAACAG